GCCGCCUGGCUACAGCCUGACUCCUCUUGGGAGCCCCUGUCACCCCAAGCUCCUGUCCUCUUGGACUCCGUUCUCACCUAGAGAUGCUGAGAAGUCUUAGCACAGGCCUUCCACCAUGGCAUCCACCUCCUGUCCCUCAGGGGCCAAUGGCCCAGCCAGCUGUGUCCCCAGUGGGGCCCGGGAGGUGCCGGAGCUGGUGGGGAUUGAUGGGGUGUGUUUCUGGGGGCAGAGAUGUUUCCAAAGGGAAUGCCCUAAGAUUGCAGAGAGCCCCUCUUGGCUGGCUCCCGUGAGAGCUCUCUGUGGGCCCGAGAGGGACAGUGGGGGCUGGGCUGGGCAGGCCAUAGCUCCUUGCUCCGUCACUCAUUUCAUGGGAGCCCAGGUGCCAUCUCCACAACUAUGCGACAGGCCCGGUGCUGGUAGCUCUCUCCUGGAAGCACUACUCCCUGAUUUCCUUAGUAGGUGGGUGUUGCUUAGUGGCCCUGUGCACCCCACUUGUGUAGCAGAGGAAGGAGCACUGCCAGGCCUGGGUUGCUGGAGGCUGCAGGCAGGAGGAGGCUGGGUUGGGCUCAGCCUGGGAUGUGUGCGGCUGGGGACGGUAGAAGCUUCCCCUGAUGUCCUGCUGUUGUCAGUGCACGCAGGUCAGGGACAGAAGGUGGGCUUGUGAGCGCAUCCCGAAGGUCAUCCUGCCCAUAGACAUGGCUUUCCUGGCCCUGGUACCGGGGAGAUGUGGUCCCCAGACAAAGCUGAGUUCUCCCCUCAAGAAGCCACAGGGAGCUUUUGCACAGGCAGGUGGCAGGCAUCCCCUUGGCUUCAGUCCUACUGGCCCUGCCCUCAUGGCCCCGACAGGUCACAGCUGGGUUUGGUUCUGGUUGACACGGGCAGUUACAGACAACAACUGGCUUCACUCUCUUAAUUCCCCAGGAAGAUGAGGUGUCACGGCCAGGCCCAGCCCGGGAAGAUGAUGGGGACAGUGCUUAUCACCCUGAGGGGAGCAAGCUCAAUGUGAAAUGGAGGUGGCCUCUGUGGAUCAGGCGUGGAGGUGAUCCUGAGGUGGCAGAGCAGUUUCCGAGAGCUGCAUGAGAGCCUUGUGUCCACUGUGGCUCCGGAGCCACCUGUGGCCAAGCGCUGGCCAAGCUGCCCUGCUCCUGGGCAGGCAGGGCCCGGCACCCUUCCAGUGGCUCUGCUCCUGGUGCUCUGUGGCACUGGGUUUGUUUGGAAAAGGGGUUCCUUGGAGGAGUAGAGGACGUGGAGUUGGGCAGACCUACGUCCCCUUGGAGGGCCUAGGCCACCCAGGGUCCUUUGCAUCUGGAACCAGCAUCAUGGUGGUAGUAGAUGUCUGUGAAUUAAAUGCAUGUAAUGCCUUCCCAGGAAUCCUUUCAAGCCAAGGGACAGAAAUCCACUCAGACUAAGAAACAGAAGCUUCCCAGAGGGCGUCAGGGCCACUUGUCGCCUGCAAGACCAGUAGGUCUGCCUGGUAGCAUGAGGGCCCUGGGGUUGAGGCAUGUGUCCUCCAUGCUGUGGCCUGUAGGACAGUCCCAAAAAGGUUGAUGUCAGAUUCAGAAGAAAGGGGGUGGGACCAGAAACACACUGCAGCAAUAAUGGCUGAGAGCUUUCCACAGAUACAAACCUGCAGACUUAAGAAGCUGAGCAGACCCCAUGUAAGGCUAACAGCCACGUGCAGACGUACACAAACCAAACGCUGAGAACUGGGGGCAAAGAAAGAGCCCUUGGCAGCUGUCCUUCGUCAGCAGCCAGACGGUGUGGCCUGUACUGACAAGGGAUGCCGCAGUGAAUGACUGUGGCGCUCGUAAGAAACCCAGGAGGCCAGAAGGAAGACGGAAGCCCAUGCAUCUUACAGUGCUGGGAGAAAAGAAUGGUCACCCCGGAAUUCCACGUCCGGCCAGUGUCCAGAGUCACUCCAAACCAAGAGCCCUCCCAGCCGGCAGACCUGCUCCGCAGACUCCCUGCAGGGCUCCCUCCUUCCCCUGAGCAUCUGCAGAUGCGAGUGAUGGUGCAAGAGGACGAGGGCAGUGCCCGCCAGUGCCCGUGCAGUGCCGUUCCCAGGACAGCUGUGGCGGGGUGGGCCUGUGGCGGCGGUGGGGCUGUAGGUGGCAGCGUGUGUGCGGGUGCCAGGUCGAGCACACAGGGUUAAGGUGCCUGCAACAACCCUUUGAGCAGCCUUGCAGAGCUCGUGUGUAGAGACACGGAGUCGUCAUAGGUAUUUCAAAUGAAAUACAAAAACAUUCAAGUGGCCCCAAAGAAAGCCCGAAAGAAGAAAUACCGUAAGGAACGAGCAACAGAGGCAGCAAACAGCAAAUAGUGGAACACCUAAAUGCUGACUGAUCAGCAGAGGGGCUGGGGUAAAUGCACCAGUCAGGACAGCGUAUGAGGGUAGAUUUUUAAACUAAGCCAGCUCUCUGGUGUCUGCCAGAAGCUCAUUUGUCGUAUUUGAUUUGGGAUGCUGUUAUGAAACGUGAUAGACUUGGUGGCUUGUGAACAACAGAAUUUUAUUUCUUGCAGUUCUGGAGGCUGAAAGUCCAAGGUCAAGAUCUGCUGUCUGUGGACCAGGAAGGGGGCACUGAUCACAUCACUGAGUCUGAUUAGCUCGAUUCAGUGUCUGGUGAGGGCCCCCUCCUGGUCCACAGACAGCGCCUUCCUGCUGAAAGGAAGGCGGGUGAGGGAACUCUCUGGGGCCUUAGAAGGGCACUCAUUCUGUUCAUGAGUGUUCUGCCUUGCGACCUCAUCACCUCCCACAGGCCCCAUCUCCAAAUACCCUCACAUCUGGGGUUUAGCUUUCAACACAGAAAUUGGGUACCAGUGUCCCGUAUGUAGCAUCACUGUAGAUGCUGUGGUGUAGGCAGCUUACAAGUAGGAAGACAGAAGAAGAGGGGCUGCAAAAACCUGCCUCAGAAGAGGGUGGGAGUGGCUAUUUCAGGCCGAGGGAGACCUGGAGCAAAGAAAUGAGCAGGAGUGAAAAGGUUCUAGCUUUAGAAAAGGGGCAGCUCUUGAGGAAGAGAUCAUGCCAUGAACGUGUAUGCACAAACAGCAAGGCUUUGGACACAGCACACUGAAGGCGCUGCUGGAGACACGGGCAGAAUCACAGCAUUGCUGCAGAUUCCAGCACUCCUCUGGUGACAGAGCCUCAGAGACAAAUCAGCGAGGGCAGGGCGCCUGAUGACACCACCAGUCGGCUGGAUUGGCACUGCAGCCUCAGCAGCACAACCCCAUUUUAGCUCACAAAGAUGAGCCACCACAAUGGAUCACACCUGCCACAGAAGAGCCCUUAACACAUUUUUAAAAACCAGGAUCAUACGAAGUAAGUUUUCUGGCCAUGGUGGAGUUAAACUGGAAAUCAGUAACAGAAAACAAAACUUUCAAAAACUGUACACACACGAAAAUACAGCAUGUCAGAAUUUGUGAGACACAAUGAAAGCAGUGCCUAGAGGGGAUUUACAGGAUUAAAUGCUGUUUUACAAAAAGAAGAUGACUUUCAGUCUAAGUUUCCAACUUUAAAAAAAAAGCUUGAGAAAAAGCAAGAUAAACCCGGAGCAGAAGAAAGUAAAUGAGAACAAAAGCACUCAAAUUGAUUUUUAAGACAAUAGGGGAAAUCAAUGAAAUCAAAAUGUGAUUACUUGAAAAGAUAAUGAAAUCGGUUAACCUUUAGUAGAUACAAAGAUAAGAGAGAAAAUGCAGUUACCAAUAAGGAGUGAGUGUCACUCUAAACCCCGUGGAUGUAAAGAGAAAUGUCACUCUAAACCCCGUGGAUGUUAAAAGGAUAAUAAGGAAGUAUUGCAAAAAAUAACCCUCUGUGCAGAUCAGUUCUACAGCUUGGAUUAAAUGGACCAACUCUUUGGAAGGCAUAAAAUACCAAAACUAGAGCAAGAUAGACGGUGCCAUAAGGUAAGAAAAAAUAAUACAAGGCAUCCAAAUUGGAAAAGAAAGAAAACAGUAGGUCCCCUUCUCUGCAGCUUCAGUUACCCAUGCUCACCUGUGGUCUGAACAUGUUACAUGGAAAAUUCCCGAGAUAAACGGUAAGUUUUGAGCUGCACACUGUUUUGAGUGGUGCGGUGCAGUCUCGGCCAUCCUGCUCCAGGCGCGUGUCCUCCUCCCUUGGUCCAGCUGGGCCUCAGGCCCCCUGAGCCACCCACUGCCACAGUGCCAGGUGCUUAUGGUCGGACUGCCCUUAAUUGAUGUAGGCAGCCCAAAGUGCAGGAGUGUGAUGCUGGCGAUUCAGAUCUGCCAAAGAGAAGAUGUCAAGUGCUUUCCUGACCUCAAGGUGGAAAGGUGAAUGAACGUUCUUGAGUAGAAAGAAAAUUGUAUGCCGAGGUUGCUGAGAUCUAAGGUCGGAACAAAUCUCUGGAUGAAAUUGUGAGGAAGGGAUCAAAAGGCUCUUUCAUGAAACUGUGAAAGUGGCAGCCACGGUGCAUGUGGAGCACUUGGACCUGUGGGUGGAGGGUGAGACCAUGGGAGCAGCAGCGUGGUCCAGGAGGCCGGCAGGAGGCCCCUGAGAUGCGACACAGCCACUCACUGCAACUGACUGUCCUCAGUUUAUAAAUGACACUGCCUGUGGGGCCUCACACCUAUAAUCUUGGCUACUCAGGCCAGGAGUUCGAGACCAACCUGGCAACAUAGCGAGACCCUAUCUCAGUAAAUCUGAUCUUCCUGUCUUUAUCUUAGUAAUGUAUGCAUAGGAGAAAGUGCAGCGUAUUUAGAGUUCCAUGCUGUCCGUGGUUUCAGGCAUCCCUGGGCUGUGGCAGUGCAUCCCUUGUGGAUAGGGAGUAUUGCUGUACCCCUGUGCACACAUUGCAGGACUGGGAAAACCUCAAGGAUUGCAGCAGAUAAUAAUUACAUUUAGCAAGGUCAACACACAGAUCAGUGAUGGCUGUGUUAGCAAUGUGAAAUUGAAAACUGAAUAUUUAAAAUAGCUCCAAAAGUAAUGAGAUCCUCAGUUACAACCCUAACAAGACAUUCCCAGGAUUUGCAUCCUGGAAACCCCAAAAUGCUGAUGCAGAAAAUUGAAGGUCUCCAUCACGGAGAGACACACCACACUUAUCUAUCACCUAAGGUCUCCAUCAUGGAGAGACGCACCACGCUUAUCACCUGAGGUCUCCAUCAUGGAGGGAUGCACCACGGUUAUCACCUGAGGUCUCCAUCAUGGAGGGACGCACCACGGUUAUCACCUGAGGUCUCCAUCAUGGAGAGAUGCACCACGCUUAUCACCUGAGGUCUCUUAUCAUGGAGAAAGACACCACGCUUAUCACCUGAGGCCUCCAUCAUGGAAAGACGCACGGCUUAUCACCUGAGGUCUCCAUUAUGGAGAGACGCACCACGCUUAUCACCUGAGGUCUCCAUCAUGGAGAGACGCACCACGCUUAUCACCUGAGGCCUCCAUCAUGGAGAGACGCACCACACUUAUCCAUCACCUGAGGUCUCCAUCAUUGAGGGACGCACCACACUUAUCACCUGAGGCCUCCAUCAUGGAGAGACGCACAGCUUAUCACCUGAGGCUCUCCAUCAUGGAGAGAGACACUGCGCUUACCACCUGGAAGAUGACUGCAAACAGAUUCUUCCCCAGACUGAUCUGUUGAUUUAGUGCAGUCCCAAGCAAAAUCCCAGCACAGUCAUAGACCAGUUCUAAAAUUUAUGUGGAAGGGCAAAUUAAUUGAAAUAGCUACAAAGAUUUUGAAAAAAAGAGGAAUCUCACACUUUUGAGACUUAGUAUGAAACUGUAGAAAUCAACAGUGUGCGGCAUUGAAGAAGCAGAUACACAGCUCCAUGGAACAGAGUCCAGAGAUAGCCCCACACAAAUGGGGCCCUCAGUUUUGGCAAAGAGCAAAAGAAAUUGAAGGGAGAAAGGAUAGUCCGUUCAACAAAUGCUGCUGGGAAAAUCACCAAAUGCUGACUAACCCUCAUGCCUCAUGCAAGUGUCUAAAACUGUUUUAAAGCUUUUGGAAGAAGCCAUAGGAAAUCCUCACGACCUGGCAUUAGGGAAAGAGUUCUUGGAUUGAUAGCAAAGCUACAAUCCACUGAUGAAAAAGAACCAACGCAUCGCACUUCAUCAAAAUUUAGAACUUUUGCUUCAAGAAAGACACUUUGAAGAGGACAAACUCCAGGAUGGGAAAGAAAGUAUUUGCAAAUUGCGUAUCCCCCAAAGGACUGGCACCCAGAAUACACAAGGAACUCACACAACUCAUCAGCAGGAAAACAAAACAGUCC